rnacentral:lncRNA from 10 species
UUGUUAAACUGGAGCAUUAAAAGGUAUAGGAGAGAGAUAGAUGAGAUUGCCGAGAAAUCAAGGAAAGCAACUUUGUUAAACUGGAGCAUUAAAAGGUAUAGGAGAGAGAUAGAUGAGAUUGCCGAGAAAUCAAGGAAGGGAAAUUGGCAGAAAGCCCGAGGCUAAGCCGCUGCAAGAUAAGCCAGACCACACCAGGACUUGGCAAGAUAGCUCUGGAAGAUAGCUCCAGCUCAGGAAGAAGACCCUGCAGCCCAUUUCCUUUCAAAAGGCAGAGAUGAACAUUUUCCCUGGCCGUCUUGAAAUACACCAAUAUGUUUGGAAAUAAAGAGACUUGGCUUCCUGGUCCUGCUCUAAGAUGGGAGCUUAAACCUAUGGAAUGUGACACCACUUUGGGCAAAAACAGAAUUCUUAGCAAAGAAAUCAUUGAUGUUAAGGUAAAUUUAUUAAAUGUGAGUGAGUUCAUCUACUUCUCAGAUAAUUAAGACAUUACUUAUGGUGAACAAGCUUAUUUAUUAGCAUGUGUUUCCUUUAUGAUAUUGCAUUAUGAAUAUAUUAUAAUUGAACAUGCAUGGCUGAACUGUUUUUGGCACAAUUGCUAGAAAUUAGUGUUUAAAUGCUCAUAUAUUUUUUUUUUGGUUUGUUUGUUUUUUAAUUGACAAAGCAUAUGUUUUCUGUGGAGCAUAUUUUAUUUUCUGUUGGGAUUUAGAUAUCAAAUCUUCAUUGCACUAAGACUAAUUUUAUUUUUUGGCAAGUGCCUACAACUUACAGAUUUACUCAUCACUAUGAUUUGAAUUAGAAACUCAGAAAAUAGAGGUGAUACCUUUACAGAGUCAUGGUAAUAGAAUAACAGCUGCCUAAACUUGGCCUGAAUACUGGAUGAUCAUUAAUUAUUACUUAAAAUAUAAAUACUUGGUGGUAAGACUGUAGUGUAUCUAUUCAGAAACUAAAUAAAGAUAGACCCAAAGUUACAACUCCUUCAAGUUACCAUGCCUGCCCUGUCAAUGAGUCAGACAUUAUGUGAAGAGAGAAACUAAAACCUCCUUAUUCUGAACUAAUUUCUCAGUCUGUUCACCAAAAGAGAUUUUGCUCUCGACUACUGACCUUCAGGCUUUAUUCUUCCAUUUCCUUCCUUACUUUGUCAUGCAAUCUCAAAGCUCAUUUCUCCAACUAUUAUCUUGGUUCCUUUGAUAAUAAUUCUACUGCUUCUUUUCUACUCAACAUUGCUUUAGGAAACAUCUCAAAUUGCUACAAUACAAAUAAAUUACUAACCAAUAAACAUGACUUCAAUAUUUUUAAGUUAUGUUAAGAGCUAGGCAGCUUCCUAUCAUACUAGGUUUUAAGGUUUCCAGUUUCUGAUUCAAUUUAGAACAGUAAAUUUGAAAACACAGAGCUUAUACAUUAAUAACUGUAUUAGUCUGUUCUCGCAUUGUUAUAAGGAACUACCUGAGACUGGGUAAUUUAUAAAGAAAAGAGGUUUAAUUAGCUCAUGGUUCUGCAGGCUGUACAGGAAGCAUGGCUGGAGGGGCCUCAGAAAAUUACAAUCAUGAUGGAAGGCAAAAAAGAAGGCGGCACCUCUUACAUGGCUGGCGCAGGAGGAAGAGAGAGCAGGCAGAGGUGCUACACACUUUUAAACAACCAGAUCUUGGGAGGGUUCACUCACUUUCACGGGAACAGCAAUGGGGAGAUCUGCCCCUGUGAUCCAAUCACUUCCCAGCAGGCCCCUCCUCCAACACUGGGGUUUACAAUUUGACAUGCGAUUUGGAUGGGGACACAAAUCCAAACCAUGUUAAUAACCCCAAAUACAUCAUUUCUAUGUUGAGAACACUGCGCCUCUAAAGUUGAAAGCAAUAUUAAAAAAUUAAUUUUUAAAAAUGCUUUUAUUGGAUUUUCAGCUACAUACAAAUAGGACUUAAAAUGCAUGCAAUUCCACUUUAAAAACCAUAAAAAAUAAAGUCCACAUGAUUUCUUAAUCACUUUCUACUUUUGCCUGUAGUUAUAAUAGAGUAUAGAAUAGUUGAAAAUAAGUGAGGAUGAUAAUGAUAAUAAUGAUGAUUUAAUAUCAUGUAGAAAUAUAAAACCUAAUGUGCUAGUUGUGGACAUUUGACACCCUGACUUUGACCAACACAUUUUGAUGGUGUCAAAGGAUGUUUUUGAAUACCCCACAAAGAACAAUCAGCCAAAUGUCUAUGAAUGCUAAACACCUAUGAGUAGCUAUUCCUCUUCUGAACUCCUAUAAACUUCAUUUGUGUCUUUAUUAUGGUACUUAUCACUUUAUUCCUUGGGAUAUAGUUACUUGUGCAACUUAGUUCCCCUAACAUAGGGGAACUUUAGGGCAUGAUAUGUAUCUGAUUCUUCUUGGAAUGCCUCCAUAACACCUAUCCCAGAAGUCAACAAAUAAGAAUGACAGAUAGUUUUAAACUUAUAUGAGCAUUCCAGAAUUAAUAUUGACAAAUUCAUAUUGGCAUGUAACAGAUUUUGGAAACAAAGUUCUAUGCACGUGGGUGUCAAAAAGAAUAAUGCACAUUUCUGAAUGAAGGAUAGCAGAUGACUUCAAAGCCACUAGCAGACUGUUUACUUUAUCUGGGAUCAAGGACCCUGCAUGGAUAAAAGGCAAAGGAAGUCAUCCACCUUGAAAAAAAAUAUUUUCUUAAAAUAGAGGUUUGGUAUCUAAAGCUCCUUUAAUUCAUAGGUUCAGCUCUAUGAAAUCAUUCUCUUUGAUGUUUAAUCAUCCCAAAUCCUAUAAUAAUAAUUUGGGGAAAAAUAGGUUGCCAUGGAAAACAGUGUGGGGUAGGGUUAUGAGUCUAGCAUUAGGAAGAUUUGACCUGGUUAUAAAAUUCAUUCAUGAAAGCACUGUGGUUAGAAUUCAUGGGAAACCACCCAGCUUUAUGCUUGCUAAAAGGAAGUAAUAGGAUAUAGAGAGAGAUGCCUUCAAACAAAGCUGUUAUAAAUCUGCAACAGACAAUUGUAACGCCUAAAUUACUUAAACGAAAGCAGAUGCUUUUACGUAUAUUAAAUUUGAGUUUUUUGUUUGUUUAUAUGUUUAUUUUAACAAAAGAAAGCAGAGACAUUGGAGGAAAGUAUACAAAUUGUUCUAGAUAUGCUUUGCUUAAGAAAAAAAAAAAUUGUAACAUGGGUGAAGAGUAGAAAUACUCCACUGCCAAUGAAUGUAAUUCCUCCGCAUUCUCUCAUUUCACUCACCUUGUCUCUCGUUUGGCCUCAGAUUUUGCAGCUCUAGCAGGGAUUGUGGUUUAUAUGAAAAAGUAGAUUUUUUCCUUUUAAAUGGACAUAUAUAUCUUCAGAUGUAAAACUUCAGAAUUUCAAAAUAUGAUAAAAUUUUGUCACUUUAUAGGUUUUGAUUUAAUUUAUUUUAAAAGUUUCACUAUUCUUUUGAUAGUAGCUGACAGAUCCAAUCCUGUUCCCAUAUGCUUUCUGCUAUUUUAAAAGAAACAGUACACAAUUGCCUCAGAGAGGCACCAUGUGUUUCCAAAGUGUGAAUCUGAAAACCAUCCAUCUGGGCAUGUUGGCAUCUUCCUGAAUCGUAUGUGAUUGAAAGAAAUAUUUUCAACAUUUUUCAAGUCUUUGACUACAUGAGAAAGAGAAUAAGGUAAAGGAGAUCUUUUUUCAUUUCCAGUUAUUGAGAAUCAAGUAUGAUCCUUAGAUUGGAAUACCUUGCCCACCCUUCUGCCUGGAUAGCCCCAAUCAUUCAUCAAGACUCAGGUCACCAGUGGCAUUCUUAGUGAAUUACUCUGUCACCCUAGCUCUUUAUUUGUCGCAUAACUAACUCUAUGCAUACUCAUAUGAAAAUGCUUAUUUACUUUGAUUAAAAUUAUUUCUUCAACUGUUGCUUCCCCUAUAAUCUAUGAGCUCCUAAAAUGAAAAGCAGAUGGUCUUUAAUGCAAUUCAAUUCAACAAAUAUUAUUACAAUGCUCCAGAUACUAAUCUAGAAGCUGCAGAGACAAUUCUGAAUAAGAAGAGAGCAUUUUUGCCCUCCAGAAUUUACAAUCUAGCUGGGCAGAGAGAAAUUGAACAAGUAAUUAGACUUAAAGAUGAUUCUUGGUGAGGAGUUAGGAUAACUGCAUCUGAAACCUCACAUAGACAAAAAUAAAGUUGAAAGUUCAAACUUACUUUAAUAUUGUUUUUAUUAAUAGUACUUUUUGUGUUGUAUGACAUAGAUAUUCAGAGUGAUUUUCUAGAUUGUUGAGAUCAUCAUACAUAUUUCUUGUGAAGCUAAGUAAUAGUCACUAAAUUAUGGGCCAGGCAUAUGGCUAGGUUUAUGUAUGUAUAUGUACACACAAGUUAUAUUAUAUAUAACUUAUAGUGAAUUUACAAGCCCUCUAUGACCAAGUUACUUUAUUUUUUGAAACUUAAAUUAAUCCUAAAAGUAAAGGUUUUUUUUUUCAAAUCAUUUAAAAAGCAGAUAAAUUAUAUUGCAUCAUUAUAGCCUCAAACACAUGGUAUCAAAAUAUGGCCACAUGUUAAUCAAUAAAACGAAUAACUUUGUGGUAAACUAAGAGACUGAGAAAUCUUGCCACUAAACAUUAAAGGCAGAGUGACUUCCAUGUUUUGAUCGUGUUAGAGUUGUCUGAGUCAUUUUAGGCUGGCCUAACAGAAUACCAAUGGACUGGGUAGCUUAAACAGCAGAAGUGUAUUUCUUGCAGUUCUGAAGACUAGGAAGUCCAAGAUGAAGGUGCUGGCAGAUCUGGUGUCUGGUGAGGGCCCUUUUCCCUCUGGUGAGGGUUUGUAGAUGACUGCCUUCUCGUUGGAUUCUCACAUGGUGGACAGCAGAGAGAGAAGAAGCAAGCUCUCUUGUGUCUUUUAUAAAGAUGUUAAGCCCAUUCAUAGAGGCUCCACCCUUUUGACCUAAUAAUCUCCCAAAGGUGCAACCUCCUAAUACUGAUAUUUUGGAAGUUAAUAUAUCAACAUAUGAGUUUUGGAGAGACAUAAACAUUCAGUCCAUGGCAGGGUGCAUAACUGGUUCCAUUGUUCAAAGAAAAAUUCAGUAAAAAUAAAAAAUAAUAAUUCCAUCAGAUCUUGGUUAAGUUGAUUGUCACAGAAUUUGGUUCAUUAAUAAAAUAACCUGUUUCUACCCUAAAUGGGGAUACUUUGAUUAAGGUUUCCACUUACUAGUGACCAAAUUCCUCAAGAGAAAGCACUGUCUCUACUUUUUUCAAACCUCAUUCAUAGUAUUUGGGUUAGGAUUCUACACAAUAUGAGAGCUUUGUCAAAGUUGAGUAAAUCAACUUGGACCUCUUUUCUUCUUAUUAAAAUGCAACAAAUUUAAUUAAUAAACACCCUUUUAUUGAUACAGGUAUCCCCUGCUAUCUGAAUUCUCUCUUUUAAUGAAAAUUAUUUUCCUAUCCAAACUCUAGAACUGAAUUGAAGCUCUACUCUUCAGACCAAAAAAAGGUUGCAGAAUAUAAAUUUAGGCACUUUUUGGAGGGCUGGAGGUCUGUACACUGUUGUUAGGAAGAAACUGUCUACUCUCCAGCAGAGAUGAGAAAAAAAGGGGAAUUGUUACAAAAUUAAUAUGAGACCAGAUUAAAAGAUGUAUUGAAAGGAAAAGAGAGAUUAGAAUACCAGCCAGGAGGCAAUAAUAUUGAAAAAGUGAAGUUUUCAUAUCUUGUCAAAAGAAAAUGUUUACUUUUUCAAAGUUUUUUUAAUGUUGUAUAUUAUGAAUACAUUUGAAAUCCAAAUUAUUGUUCAGCCAUGUUGAAUAUAUUUGCUACUCUGACCAGUUUUUAGAAUGCUCUGAUGAAACUUGUGUGAUCUCCAAAUUUGUAUAGUGAAGAGAAAACCCUGAAAAUCUUUCACUUUGUCAUGCCUGCGCUGAGGGCAGAUGACUCACUGUAUGAAUUCAAGUUAAAUCACUUAACCUUUUUCUCUUAUUCAACCCAUCUGGGAAGCUGAAUACAAGCACUUCACUAUGAAACAGAUGGUGAGCCUAAGCUACAUUUUCCCAGAUUAAAAAAAGAAGAAUGUGUUAUAAGGACUAAAAGAACCAAAUGUGGAAAAAACGCAGGGAUUACACGGAAAAGAGCUAUAAGCUGGAUCAGACAUUUUCACCUGUAAAAAAUAAUGUAAUGCUUAAAAAAUAAGUCCUAGGAGAUGAUAUGGGGACAAAGUCAGUAAAACCUUUUCAUAAAGCACCAUAUGUGUAAUGUGGUCAUGAAUGUUGGUAUGUACAGUGAGUAAAAUGCUAUUUGUUUGCUGGUUCAUUUACCUGUAUGUCUCAGAAAACAAAUUUGGUUACUUUAGGAUACUUUUAGGUUAUCUAUUUGAUAACUGUAAAGCUAAAUGCUAAUAAAAACAUCUCGAGAAAAUUUAUGAGACCCAUCUAAAUUAUAGCUCCAGUGAAAUUUAACACUAGUUGGAAAACAAAAACUUUCCAAUAUGUUCUAGGAUAAUUGUUUUCUAAUCUUUUAUAUGCAUAUAAAUCACUUGGAAGUAAGGCAAGUUAUUGCCCCUUGGUAACUUUGGAUUUUAACUUUAUUAUGCAUAAAAUUAUAUUAAAUUCAAAUGUAUUUACAUGUGGAUAUUUAUAUCUGUCACAUUUUAUGGAAGAAGAAAUAUCUGUUGCAGCUAUUUUGAUAUUUUGAUGAAUAAAGUAGAACAUAUUAAAAAG